AGAGUUUGAUCCUGGCUCAGAACGAACGCUGGCGGCGUGGAUAAGACAUGCAAGUCGAACGAGAGAAUUGCUAGCUUGCUAAUAAUUCUCUAGUGGCGCACGGGUGAGUAACACGUGAGUAACCUGCCCCCGAGAGCGGGAUAGCCCUGGGAAACUGGGAUUAAUACCGCAUAGUAUCGAAAGAUUAAAGCAGCAAUGCGCUUGGGGAUGGGCUCGCGGCCUAUUAGUUAGUUGGUGAGGUAACGGCUCACCAAGGCGAUGACGGGUAGCCGGUCUGAGAGGAUGUCCGGCCACACUGGAACUGAGACACGGUCCAGACACCUACGGGUGGCAGCAGUCGAGAAUCAUUCACAAUGGGGGAAACCCUGAUGGUGCGACGCCGCGUGGGGGAAUGAAGGUCUUCGGAUUGUAAACCCCUGUCAUGUGGGAGCAAAUUAAAAAGAUAGUACCACAAGAGGAAGAGACGGCUAACUCUGUGCCAGCAGCCGCGGUAAUACAGAGGUCUCAAGCGUUGUUCGGAAUCACUGGGCGUAAAGCGUGCGUAGGCUGUUUCGUAAGUCGUGUGUGAAAGGCGCGGGCUCAACCCGCGGACGGCACAUGAUACUGCGAGACUAGAGUAAUGGAGGGGGAACCGGAAUUCUCGGUGUAGCAGUGAAAUGCGUAGAUAUCAAGAGGAACACUCGUGGCGAAGGCGGGUUCCUGGACAUUAACUGACGCUGAGGCACGAAGGCCAGGGGAGCGAAAGGGAUUAGAUACCCCUGUAGUCCUGGCAGUAAACGGUGCACGCUUGGUGUGCGGGGAAUCGACCCCCUGCGUGCCGGAGCUAACGCGUUAAGCGUGCCGCCUGGGGAGUACGGUCGCAAGAUUAAAACUCAAAGAAAUUGACGGGGACCCGCACAAGCGGUGGAGUAUGUGGCUUAAUUCGAUGCAACGCGAAGAACCUUACCUGGGCUUGACAUGUAAUGAACAACAUGUGAAAGCAUGCGACUCUUCGGAGGCGUUACACAGGUGCUGCAUGGCCGUCGUCAGCUCGUGUCGUGAGAUGUUUGGUUAAGUCCAGCAACGAGCGCAACCCCUGUUGCCAGUUACCAGCACGUGAAGGUGGGGACUCUGGCGAGACUGCCCAGAUCAACUGGGAGGAAGGUGGGGACGACGUCAGGUCAGUAUGGCCCUUAUGCCCAGGGCUGCACACGUACUACAAUGCCCAGUACAGAGGGGGCCGAAGCCGCGAGGCGGAGGAAAUCCUAAAAACUGGGCCCAGUUCGGACUGUAGGCUGCAACCCGCCUACACGAAGCCGGAAUCGCUAGUAAUCGCGCAUCAGCCAUGGCGCGGUGAAUACGUUCCCGGGCCUUGCACACACCGCCCGUCA
rnacentral:rRNA from 1 species